CACCUGCAACAUAUGGAGGUUCCCAGGCUAGGGGUCUAAUCAAAGCUACAGCUGCCAGUCUGUGCCACAGCCACAGCAAUGCAGGAUCUGAGCCGCAUCUGUGACCUACACCACAGCUCACGGCAACGCUGGACGCUUAACCCACUGAGCAAGGCCAGGAAACCACAGUAGCAUUUCUGAACUCACAAAAUCAUGACAGUAAUCGGACUUUCUUAAACAAAACGGGGACAAGGACAAGGAUAAUGAGCUGGCUAGUAAGGGUCAAACUGAGGUAACACACUUGGACAGAGAAGUUGGUUUCAGGAGACCUUGAGGAAGAUCAGAGAAGUCAUAGGAAAGUAGUGGGUACUCACAGACCAGAAAACUGAGCCACAUCCUCCCAAAGAGCCUCCCAAAGCCCAAUAUAGAAUUGUCUCCCAACAGGAGGCCCCAGGAAGGGACGCGGUGCUGCCCUGAAAACUAACUGGGAGAAUUUGGGAGGGGCCAAAAAGACGGAGGAGAUGCCAGCCCAUAAUACAUCUUGUAAAACUAACUGGAAGAAUUUAAGAAGGACCAGUAGGAGGGAAGAGACGACCACCUCUCAGAAUCCUUGGCACCAGAAUCCAUCUCGGCUGAGAGAUGUGAGCACUGCCAAGAAGGAGCCUGAGUCAGAACAAACAUGGGCCAAGCAAGACGAAUGGCUGGAGACAACCUUGAAGCUAACCCAAUUCCAAUAAAACCUGAGGCGGCAAGCCACGUGACAGAGCAGUUCUCCUGGGUUCCCUUACUCCCUACUCUGCCUGGGCCCCACUUCCCAAUAAAGUCUUUUGCUUUGUCAGCACGUGUGUUUCCUUGGACAAUUCUUUCCUUUAUGGAAAGACGUAUCUUAAAUAAGCUGUUUUUAGGUCAAAAUGUGAUUUGUUAUUGCUACAUUUUAUUUCUGUAUUUUACUAAACCCUGAGAUUUAUUUGUGCCCAAUUUCUCAUGGUUCAAAAUUUUAGAAAUUCGUGUUUGAAAGACUCAUGUUAAAAGAGCAGAAGCAGUCUAUUUAUUUCCUCAGUAAGAUUUACUUCAAGUAGAACAGGCUCCACACAUUAGCCUCACUGAGUGGUAACCAGUGAUGGAAUAAAGUCUUGUUCUAGUGAUCUAAUAUGAAUAGCAACUCUCUUUUCAGCAUACAGGGACGGUUCUCAAAUUCUAAUGUGCAUAAGAAUCAUCAGAGAAGUGUAUUAAAAUCCACCCAAUUCCCAUCCCCUUCCAUCCCACCUGCAGCCUACUUCCUGACUCAGUGGAGCCAUAAUUUUGUGAAAAACCUGAGCAAGGACUCAGCUACCCUGUGCACUUCCCUCUCUAAUGCGAACUCAGUGGAGACUUGCCAAACAGGAACAAUUGCUGCGGUCUAUUUCCUUAUUGGUGGCUUUCAAAUAAAUAUGUGAAAAUUGCAUGGGUCCAUCAGGUACUUGAAGCAAGUAAGGCUAGAGGCCAGGACACUCCAAAUUGCCUUUGAUGGCUGUUCCCUUAACUGGGUCCCCACUGAAGACAUUUGUUUGCAUUUAGCAGCUUUCUUAAAUGAGAAAUAAAUACCAUAAAACAGAACCCCAGUAAGCACACAGCGCAUAGAAAAUGUGCCUGACUCGGAAGGCAGCAGGCCAGGGUCUCACAAUUCACAUCGAAGGAGUAAACAACACACACACAUCCCCUCAAAAGAGGAGUUAAAUAGGUAUGAAAUUAAAUACCUAGACAAUGUGAUUUUUGUUUGUGUGGCUUUAGGCAAAGCACUAAAUAAGAAGCUGUUCUAACAUUUUUCUUUUGUCCUUUCUCCUCCUCCCCAUGAUCCCAGCCCUGCAUCACAGGUCCUGAGGAAAGGGAUAGAAAACGGACAUUUAUGCAGGCCCUGUUGUGCCCAUUCUGCAGGUGUGGAAACAGAACUUCAAAGAGAUUCAAUGACUUGCUCAGGUCACACGGCUAGGACACAUCAGGCUCAGAUCCACACGCUGGUCCACAGGACUUUCUGCACCUGGCACGCCUGUGCUGCAUACUGCACUGGGCAGAGUAACAGGAACUCACACGCUCAGUGACCGCACGGUUUGUUUCCAGCUUCUUAAGACUCACUCUACUCCUGUCCUUCAAAUCUCAUUUAUUUUCAUGGCUUUAAAGUCUGUCUAUAGGUAGUUCCCUUGUGGCACAGCAGGUUAAGGAUCCAGGGUUGUCCCUGCUGUGGCUCGGGUCACUGCUAUGGCACGGGUUUAAUCCCCGGCCCCAGAACAUCCACAUGCAGUGAGUAUGGCCAAAAAAAAAAAGAUAAAUUCUAUCUGUACAUAGACGUUAACUUCGAAAUUUAUAUUGUCAGCCUAGAUCUUGUCUCUGAGCUUUAGAGACAUAUCUGGUCAGUGACACAUUCACUUGGAUGACUUACAGAUGUCGGAAACUGAACAUGUCAAACACUGACCAGCCCCUCCCUCUCCAACAAAAUCCUUUCUCCCUGCCAGGCUUCACCGUGGCGCUCUCUGGCACUGCCUUCCCUGCUUGAGGCACGGUGCCAGGCAUCAUCCUGCCUUCUUCAACCCUCCCACACAAUACCUGAGCAUCCUGACAUGGUACCUCCAUGAGCUGUUUUCCACCUCGUGGAGCCUUAGUAUUUGCUGUUCCCUCCACCUGAAACAUUCUUCUUGUCUUUCCCGUGCCUGGCUCAUUGUUGUCUUCAAGUCUCAGUAUAAAAAAAUCACAUCCUCAGAGAGGCCUCCCUCUGACCAUGCUCUGUAAACCAUUACAACACAUAUUCAUUUUUUCUAAUACCUACCAGUAGACUUGUUUAUCAUCAGUUUUUCGAUAAGACUACAAGCUUUGAGAACAAUGGGUUGUGUAGGAGUUCCCACUGCAGCACAGCAGAAACGAAUCCGACUGGGAACCAUGAGAUUGAGAGUUCGAUCCUUGGCCUCGCUCAGUGGGUUAAGGAUCCGGCGUUGAUGUGAGCUGUGGUGUAGGUCGCAGACGCAGCUCGGAUCUGGCAUUGCUGUGGCUGUGGUGUAGGCCAGCGGCUGCAGCUCUGAUUUGACCCCUAGCC
rnacentral:lncRNA from 1 species